AUCUAGUUGACGAAUUCCAAAUAGAAUGAAACGUACGUCCUCGAU
rnacentral:hammerhead_ribozyme from 1 species